GCGUUGAUAGUGCAAUGGUUAGCAUACGCUCCUGGAAAGAGUGAGAUCUGGGUUCGAAUCCCGGCUGAAGCA